AGACACUGAUGAAGUCCGGAAGAAGUCCGGAGUAGAGUCGUCCGUGGUUGGAAGAAGUCUGGAAGGAAUUUCGCGAAUAGUCGAUCACUGUAGAAAAUCGAUCGAUAGUGGAGUUCAGAGGGCAUUUGGAGCAAUCCGAUGGAUGAAUGGAGAAGCUCAUGGUUAGAGAAGUCCGGAUGGCAUUAUGGAAGCUCGGACGGUCGAAGGAGUUCGGAAAGAUGCCACAUAAGGUCGGAAGCCGGAAAAGCCCUGGAAGGGUCGGCCUUUUACAAACUUCAGCUGGGGGUAUUUUAUACCCAACAAGUUCCAAGUCGAGAGCCAAGGUUUUCAGAUCUCUUUCUUUAGUCUCUAGGUUAGAUCUCUUUUUCCUUUCUCUUUCUUUUUGGAUUUUUCUGCCAUUUCUGAUGGCUAGUAGC
rnacentral:lncRNA from 1 species